GCCAAAGUGGCAUUGUGGUUUGAGUGUUGGACUCUGAAUCUGGAGAACAGGGUUCGAUUCCCAGCUCGGACG